UGAGGAAUAUUGGUCAAUGGGCGCAAGCCUGAACCAGCCAUCCCGCGUGCAGGAAGACGGCGCUAUGCGUUGUAAACUGCUUUUCCAGGGAGAGAAACUUGCGCACGUGUUGCGCAAUUGACAGUACCCUGGGAAUAAGCAUCGGCUAACUCCGUGCCAGCAGCCGCGGCAAUACGGAGGAUGCGAGCGUUAUCCGGAUUCAUUGGGUUUAAAGGGUGCGUAGGCGGACUAUUAAGUCAGUGGUGAAAUCCUGCAGCUUAACUGCAGAACUGCCGUUGAUACUGAUAGCCUUGAGUUUGGUUAAGGUAGGCGGAAUGUGUAAUGUAGCGGUGAAAUGCUUAGAUAUUACACAGAACACCAAUUGCGUAGGCAGCUUACUGAGCCGACACUGACGCUGAGGCACGAAAGCGUGGGGAUCGAACAG
rnacentral:rRNA from 1 species